rnacentral:rRNA from 1 species
UACGGGGGGGGGCAAGCGUUGUUCGGAAUUACUGGGCGUAAAGGGCUCGUAGGUGGCCAACUAAGUCAGACGUGAAAUCCCUCGGCUUAACCGGGGAACUGCGUCUGAUACUGGAUGGCUUGAGUUUGGGAGAGGGAUGCGGAAUUCCAGGUGUAGCGGUGAAAUGCUAGAUAUCUGGAGGAACACCGGUGGCGAAGGCGGCAUCCUGGACCAACACUGACACUGAGGAGCGAAAGCCAGGGGAGCAAACGGG